rnacentral:sRNA from 1 species
UGAUGAGUUCCACCCUGGAAGUCUUGCAAACUGUUUGAUCCAGAUAGUGCAGAACAAAAGGUGGGCUUUGAUGAAUGUGAACCUAUUCAAUCACAGAUGAUCUUAGAUGAAGAUAUACAACAAAGCAAAAUCUGUGGCUAAGUUUAUUGCCUUUUUGUGAGACUCCAUAUUUUCAUCCAGUUGGAUUUCCAGGAACUCCAGGGUACAUAUAACGGAGUUACUGUAGCUGAGAAAACCACUUGACCUGUCCAGGAAAUGGGGUCAUAGUCAGGCUGUCUGAGGUUCUAGGCAGACAAGACAAAUAGUUCUUCGUGUCAGACCUCUGAUUCCUGGCAGCACGUAAGAAAUCAAAGAGCGCAAACGGAUUCAAGAACCAACAUUAUUUGUGUACAUCACCUUAUUAGGAAAAAGAAUUCCGGAAUUAAAAGAGCUGCAGUGCACUUUUGGACUAUCCUUUCUUUUUGCCCAGUGUGUUUUUCGUGAACGUUUCUUGUAAUUUUGAGAGGGAAAAGAAUUCCGGAAUUAAAAGAGCUGUGGUGCACUUUGGGACUAUCCUUUUGUUUUGCCCAGUGUGUUUUUCGUGAGCGUUAGGUUUUCGGAACCACCCAUUCAAUGUUGUUUUGCUGCAAAUAAUUAAAUCAAGCAGACAAAAAAUGAUGAAACUCAAAAACAGCUGAAACAAGACAUAAGAUAACUUCAUUUGAACACAAAUAAAAAUUGCUGGAAUUCUUUGGGAGAGACGAAAAACAAUGGUCAAUGCCGUGAGAAGCAGUGGAAGGAGAAACACUGGGCAGCGCAAGGCAUGCGCCGAAUUAUCGGGCGAUUAUGCCACUUCAGAAGACACGCGCCAAUGACGAACGCUGAUUGAUGAAAAUUGAUUUCAGUGCUAGAUAUCCCUCUUCUGUUGCAUUCGUUACUCGAUUCCGAGGUUCCAUUUAUAAUUUUCUAUUAUCUCAGAAAGUCUGUGACUCAUAGCUUCUCCUUUUGCAGGAAGUAUCCAUGAACACUUUGUACCCCCAACAUAACUUUUUUCAGAAAGAUUCAGUCACGCAUUUAUCCAAAACUAAACAGGAAGUACAUUUAAAAGUAGUUUUUAACCGUUUUAAAUGAGGCAUCUUCAUGCUAUACAUGCAUCGUUUUACCUACCAGUACGAUAGAAUACUACAACCUACCUCAGAGAGAGAUACAAGUCACAGAGAGAUAUUCCAGCAUGAGUAUGAGAAUUUUCUUUGGCACGCUUAGAACAAGAAUACACUCACAAAUGUGCCUUGUUCUACUACUGCCACAAGAAUCUUGCUUGGGCUCCGAAUCCGAUCUCAGGCAGCUGGGUGAAGGUCACUCAGGCUGUGACUGAGCCUUAGAGAGGGAGAGGAGAGAUAUGACAUGGAGAAGAUAUAUGGGGUUUAUUUACUCCGAGAUGAAAUGCAGAAGUGUAAUGAUCCCAGUUUAUGCACUUUUUAUCUACCGCACUGAAAGUGUUCCCCGAAAAACGAGCACUUUACUUAUAAUUAUAUAUAGCGACAUAACGCCAACCAAAACCCAUCUAGCUUUAGGGAUUAAGACUGUAAUAUACUCGUACAAUUCUAAUUAAACACAAUAAUCUAUGC